UCCCGCGUAGCUCAAUGGCAGAGCAGCCGGCUGUUAACCGGCAGGUUAUUGGUUCGAGUCCAAUCGCGGGAG
rnacentral:tRNA from 1 species